CCUACGAGGGGCUGCAGUGGGGAAUAUUGCACAAUGGGGGAAACCCUGAUGCAGCGACGCCGCGUGAGUGAAGAAGUAUCUCGGUACGUAAAGCUCUAUCAUCAGGGAAGAUUAUGACGGUAUCUGACUAAUAAGCCCCGGCUAACUCCGUGCCAGCAGCCGCGGUAAUACGUAGGGUGCAAGCGUUAUCCGGCUUCACUGGGUGUAAAGGGAGCGUAGACGGGAGAACAAGUCUGGAGUGAAAUCCCGGGGCUUAACCACGGAACUGCUUUGGAAACUGUUCGGCUGGAGUGCAGGAGGGGUAAGCGGAAUUCUUAGUGUAGCGGUGAAAUGCGUAGAUAUUAGGAGGAACA
rnacentral:rRNA from 1 species